rnacentral:ncRNA from 2 species
AGUGAGACGAAAUAGCAAGGUGCUCAGCGAGAGCUGGGAGAAUAGGGAAGACCGGUGUAAUUCCGGCGCGGACCCACCGCUGUAAGUAGAUACGAACCUCUUAAUACCACUGAGAUAAAUCUCGGGAAGGAAAGAGGGGAGAAUGACCUGCGAGCCAGAAGACCUGCCUGCUAUAAUGAGUUGUU